rnacentral:rRNA from 1 species
GACGAACGCUGGCGGCGUGCUUAACACAUGCAAGUCGAACGGUAAGGCGCUUUCGGGCGUACACGAGUGGCGAACGGGUGAGUAACACGUGAGGAACGUGCCCUUGACUUUGGUAUAGCACUUGGAAACAGGUGGUAAUCCCGAAUAUUCAGUUUCCCGGGCAUCCGGGUUGUUGGAAAGCUUUUUGCGGUCAGGGAUCGUCUCGCGGCCUAUCAGCUUGUUGGUGGGGUAGUGGCCCACCAAGGCCUUGACGGGUAGCCGGCCUGAGAGGGCGACCGGCCACAUUGGGACUGAGAUACGGCCCAGACAUCCUGCGGGAGGCAGC